UACGUAGGGGGCGAGCGUUGUCCGGAUUCAUUGGGCGUAAAGCGCGGGCAGGCGGCCCGCUCAGUCGGCCGUGAAAGCGCCGGGCUCAACUCGGCGAGGUCGGGCGAUACUGGCGGGCUCGAGGCUGGUAGAGGGCGGUGGAAUUCCGGGUGUAGUGGUGGAAUGCGUAGAGCUCCGGAGGAACACCAGUGGCGAAGGCGGCCGCCUGGGCCGGUACUGACGCUCAGGUGCGAAAGCGUGGGGAGCGAACGAGG
rnacentral:rRNA from 1 species